UGCGUGUGGUAAACCCAUAGGGUAAAUCCUACCGAUGAAAAGAAACUCUAAUCAAUUUCGAUAUCGGUUAAAUCCAAAAUAUUAGGAUUUCAUAAUAAUACGGCUACAGGUCAGAAAGCUUAACUCAAUAAGGAGCGGAGGAUUAAGUGUAUCGACACGUUCCAUCUGUUAGUGUUGCAGAAAAUACACACUUCACCUCUAAAUAGAACUGAAGUUCAACAAGAGUAGAAGAGCAGUCAGGAUGAAGGCGUUUUCGCUCUCCUUCAUACCCCUGGUAACAGUGACAGCGGAACCUGUCAGCCAGCAUCUGGCGCUCGUUCUUCGUUUGAUCGAGGACG